UCUACGCAUUUUCGCACUUUUUAGAUUGCGUUCGGAAACAUCAUCCGUGUGUACAUAAGCGUUUUUUUAACUUUGUUGUGUUUUAAAAGAUAAGCAAAGAUAGAACGCUCGUGUGGCCACGGGUGAUGGUUCCGUGAUGCUUUACUCGAAAACGAAAUUUGCGUGUAAACUAGCGUCGAAUGUGUUGACGGGCAAGAUAUCGCGUAUUUACAUUUUUAGAAUGUGUCGCAGAUAAAUAAUGUACCGGGAGUGUCGUGAAGAGUGACGAUUACUUAACGUGCGCGAUCGAAAUUAAUUUCGGAUUAAUAUAUAUGUAUAUGUGUGACUGAACAAAGGAAGUAAUAAUAAGCACAAAAUGAUUUUAAUUAAUGCUACGAGGUUGUUUGAAAAAACUCUUGGAUGUUGUAGCUGAUUUAUAUUGUAGCAGAUCUACGGCUUGACUGCAAGCUAUUCACGGCAAGGAGAAUGCAGUUUGAUGCAAUUUGAUUGCCAUCUACUUGAUAUCGCUGCGAUCAAAAAAUUCCGCACACUCCAGUAUCGUUGUGGUUUGCAAGCGAGAUAUGCUGCCAACAGUUCCAGACAUGAUAUCAACGAGAUAUUACAAGACUUGCAGCUGCAGACAAAUUUUGGUAUUUAUUAUGCGCAUUCUAUAAAUUCAAAAACAGAAGAGUUGACAUGACCGAUCAUCGUUGGUACGUGUAAUCUCAACAGUUUAAUAGUAUCUACCAUCGAUGAAAGUUCAAAAUGCAGUUGCUGGAAUAUUUCGAUAUAAAAUGUUCCAACAGAUGGUAAUACAAGAGAAGAGCUGCUAGAAUACUUGCGACAUCGGGCAGUGGCUUGCAGAAUUUGUUUCAUUCGCGUAUUUUAACAAUAUUUGAUAAAUUUUGAGUAAAAUAAUAAUGUAACAAUAACGUGAAAUUUUAUUGUUCAUGAUUUAAUUUUACGCGUAACAUUGAAUAUAUUUUUAUUUAGAAUAUUAAAUAUCUCUUUGUAUGU